GUAGGUGAACCUGCGGAAGGAUCAUUAACACGUAUCCAACGUUAAACAACCCUGUGAACCUUGAACGUGCUCUCGUACACGCUCUAGCAGCAAUCCCUGGUAAAUCAUUGUUGACCAGCUAUUGAGUCUGGGACUUCUGCUAGAAAACCAUACGAUACGAGAGUAAGUGCGGCCUGGCAUCCUAGCAAUCUGUCAGUGGUUGCGCAAGGAUGGCGCAGUAAACGAUCGCUACCGGGCCUCUGUGCUUCGGCACCUAAUGACACCAGUUUUCUGACCCGGUGCGCUGUAACAACCGCACCACAAACUCGAACAACUGUUAACAAUGGAUAUCUUGGUUCUU
rnacentral:misc_RNA from 1 species